UGUUGGUGAGGUAAUGGCUCACCAAGGCGUCGACGGGUAGCCGGCCUGAGAGGGUGACCGGCCACACUGGGACUGAGACACGGCCCAGACUCCUACGGGAGGCAGCAGUGGGGAAUAUUGCACAAUGGGCGAAAGCCUGAUGCAGCAACGCCGCGUGAGGGACGACGGCCUUCGGGUUGUAAACCUCUUUUAGCAAGGAAGAAGCGAAAGUGACGGUACUUGCAGAAAAAGCGCCGGCUAACUACGUGCCAGCAGCCGCGGUAAUACGUAGGGCGCAAGCGUUAUCCGGAAUUAUUGGGUGUAAAGAGCUCGUAGGCGGUUUGUCGCGUCUGCUGUGAAAACCCGAGGCUCAACCUCGGGCCUGCAGUGGGUACGGGCAGACUAGAGUGCGGUAGGGGAGAUUGGAACUCCUGGUGUAGCGGUGGAAUGCGCAGAUAUCAGGAAGAACACCGAUGGCGAAGGCAGAUCUCUGGGCCGUAACUGACGCUGAGGAGCGAAAGGGUGGGGAGCAAACAGGCUUAGAUACCCUGGUAGUCCACCCCGUAAACGUUGGGAACUAGUUGUGGGGUCCAUUCCACGGAUUCCGUGACGCAGCUAACGCAUUAAGUUCCCCGCCUGGGGAGUACGGAAUCUCUAGAGGAUCC
rnacentral:rRNA from 1 species